UGGGGAAUAUUGCACAAUGGGCGAAAGCCUGAUGCAGCAACGCCGCGUGAGUGAUGACGGUCUUCGGAUUGUAAAGCUCUGUCUUUGGGGACGAUAAUGACGGUACCCAAGGAGGAAGCCACGGCUAACUACGUGCCAGCAGCCGCGGUAAUACGUAGGUGGCAAGCGUUGUCCGGAUUUACUGAGCGUAAAGGGUGCGUAGGCGGACCUUUAAGUGAGAUGUGAAAUCCCCGAGCUUAACUUGGGGGCUGCAUUUCAAACUGGAGGUCUAGAGUGCAGGAGAGGAGAGUGGAAUUCCUAGUGUAGCGGUGAAAUGCGUAGAGAUUAGGAAGAACACCAGUGGCGAAGGCGACUCUCUGGACUGUAACUGACGCUGAGGCACGAAAGCGUGGGGAG
rnacentral:rRNA from 1 species